rnacentral:lncRNA from 1 species
CGACACGUGGAGGGACAUGAACGGGUUUAGAAUACCAAUAACCAACUACAUAUAACAGUUAGAAUUUAAGGCCGUUCGGAAACAACUAAGGUGGAGGUGCUUCGAGAGAACCAGGGCAACCCAAGAAAAAAGUAUGCAGCUGAAGCUUAUCCUUGUCGGCCUGACGAUAUUUGGUCUCAUUGUGGCUGAAAGCGGUGCCAUGCCGGCCAGCGCGAGUGCCCAAGAGGCCGAAGCAAGGGCUGAACCCGAGUCUGCGGAGCGCGCAGAGCAAAGCAACGCUGAGGAGGCACGCAUCGGUGGAGCAUGUCUGGCAUCCCUGUGUGGCUAGGAGCCUAAUGCAACGGAAUGGCACAUUUGACCAGAGACAUCGCGCGCCACCAUAGAAUACCUAAUAAAAAGCUGUGUGAACAUUCCUAAAGGCCUAUCAUAGUGCAGCACCGAAAGUCAGGGGAAUACCUGUAGAAUGCAUUCUGGCCUUAAAUAAAAGUUUGUCUUCAUGGUA